rnacentral:rRNA from 1 species
UCGCGAGACAGUUUGGUCCCUAUCUGCCGUGGGCGUCGAAAUUUGAGAGGAGUUGACCCUAGUACGAGAGGACCGGGUUGAACAUACCUCUGGUGUACCAGUCGUUCCGCCAGGAGCGCAGCUGGGUAGCUAUGUAUGGACGGGAUAACCGCUGAAAGCAUCUAAGGAUAGAUCGGAUGUAGAAGUGCGGUAACGCAUGGAGCUAACCGAUACUAAUUGCUCUAUUCGCGCUUGA